CCUACGGGCGGCAGCAGUGAGGAAUAUUGGUCAAUGGACGAGAGUCUGAACCAGCCAAGUAGCGUGAAGGAUGACUGCCCUAUGGGUUGUAAACUUCUUUUAUAUGGGAAUAAAACGUUCCACGUGUGGGAUUUUGUAUGUACCAUAUGAAUAAGGAUCGGCUAAAUCCGUGCCAGCAGCCGCGGUAAUACGGAGGAUCCGAGCGUUAUCCGGAUUUAUUGGGUUUAAAGGGAGCGUAGGUGGAUUGUUAAGUCAGUUGUGAAAGUUUGCGGCUCAACCGUAAAAUUGCAGUUGAAACUGGCAGUCUUGAGUACAGUAGAGGUGGGCGGAAUUCGUGGUGUAGCGGUGAAAUGCUUAGAUAUCACGAAGAACUCCGAUUGCGAAGGCAGUUCACUGGACUGCAACUGACACUGAGGCUCGAAAGUGUGGGUAUCAAACAGGAUUAGAUACCCCUGUAGUC
rnacentral:rRNA from 1 species